ensembl:lncRNA
GAGAAAACUAGGCAACAAAAAAUCCCACUUGUUUUCUGUGAACGAUUUCGUCUGAUAACAAACAUGGAACGACGUAUCACUGCUUCACAGCCAACUAGAUGAAUAGGAUGGAAUCCCUUACACGAACUGUUUAAGCAACAUGAGGCAGCUCGUGUAUCGGAUGUUACCAAACGAAGGCGUCUAGCCUGGAUAGCAGCUGUGAGACGAGCUGAUAUCUCCAUCUCCAAAUAUCUGUUGGUGCUCCAGACGGUUUCAUUCCACAAACCAGCCUAUGAAAUGGAUGAAACACAUCGUGACUGGGUUCCAGCGCUACACAAGGGACCUGCUUCAAACAUACCACCAUGCCAACCAGAUUACUUCUUCCAUGUGAGGGUGAAGAGGUGACCCUUCAGGAUAAGAUGGUGAAGGUUCGCUGCGUUUGGUGAACAGUGUGGUAGUAAAACCAGGGAAAAAUGAAUCUUGCUCCUGUUAAAUAUUCUUAAGUCUUGUACUGUAUAAAUAGCG